UACGGAGGGGGCUAGCGUUAUUCGGAAUUAUUGGGCGUAAAGGGCGUGUAGGCGGCUACGUAUGUCCCAUGUGAAAGCCCCCGGCUCAACCGGGGAACUGCAUGGGAAACGGCGUGGCUUGAGUCCGGGAGAGGGAUGCGGAAUUCCAGGUGUAGCGGUGAAAUGCGUAGAUAUCUGGAGGAACACCGGUGGCGAAGGCGACAUCCUGGACCGGUAUUGACGCUGAGUGAGCGAAAGCCAGGGGAGCAAACGGG
rnacentral:rRNA from 1 species